rnacentral:rRNA from 1 species
AACGCUGGCGGCGUGCCUAAUACAUGCAAGUCAACGGUCUUUCUAUGGAAGCUUGCUUCACUGAAAAGAUAGUGGCGAACGGGUGAGUAACACGUGGGUAACCUGCCCAUAAGAGGGGGGAUAACAUCCGGAAACGGGUGCUAAUACCGCAUAGUUUUCUUGAUCGCAUGAUCGGGAAAGGAAAGACGGCCUUUGUGCUGUCGCUUAUGGAUGGACCCGCGGCGUAUUAGUUAGUUGGUGAGGUAACGGCUCACCAAGACGAUGAUACGUAGCCGACCUGAGAGGGUGAUCGGCCACACUGGGACUGAGACACGGCCCAAACUCCUACGGGAGGCAGCAGUAGGGAAUCUUCCGCAAUGGACGAAAGUCUGACGGAGCAACGCCGCGUGAGUGAAGGUAAAACGGGUUUUCGGAUCGUAAAACUCUGUUGUCAGAGAAGAACAAGUUGGAGAGUAACUGCUCCAGCCUUGACGGUAUCUGACCAGAAAGCCACGGCUAACUACGUGCCAGCCGCUGC